ensembl:lncRNA
AUGGCUCACAAUGAAAGUCUAAAUGUCCUUGAUGAUGGACUUGAGAACCAGAAGCUGGCAGCUAAAUUACCCGACUGGUUAAGCACCAGAUGGAACAGAAAGGCCACAGAAUAUCAAUUGGAGCAUGGGAGAUUCCCGAAGUUCAGUUAUUUUGUGACAUUCCUUUCAUUAGAGGCCAGUAUUGCUUGCAAUCCUAUUACAUCUUAUCAAGCAUUACGGCAGACUGAAUCUGAUAAAGUGAGGAUUAAAAAUCUGACAUUAGUAACUCCUAAAACCCAGACCAUAGGUUCCAAAAUAUUCACAACCAAUACCAGUGAGAGAAACAGAGUCACCUGUCUGUUCUGUAAGAAAGUAGGACAUGGUGUACAAAAGUGUUUCAAAUUACUGGACAAGGCAGUUGCUGACAGAGUCAAAUUCAUUCGAAGUGAAAAUCUAUGCUUCGGCUGUUUGAGCAUUGGCCAUCAGUCUAAGAAAUGUACCAAUCGGAUGGUCUGUGAAGUCUGCUCAAAACGUCACCCCACGUGUUUACACGAAGAUCGCUCAAACCGUGAACAAGGAGCAAAGAGAGAACAAUUCAAAGGAAGAGUUAGCACUAAAGAAUCAGCACAACCAAGUGUCAGUAACGAAAGCACGUCCAACAGAGUUGUACAAGAUGGUAACAGUGUACAGACUUCAGCCAUAGUUCCGGUGUAUGUGUCUUCACCAAAGGAUCCAAACAAGGAAGUUCUUGUUUAUGCUCUGUUAGAUUCACAGAGUGAUUCUUCAUUUAUUCUUGAGGAAGUAGCAGAUGUUCUAAACAUGGACACAGAACAAGUCAGACUGAAAUUGUCUACAAUGUCAUCUAAAGGGACAAUUGUAGUUUGUAAAAGACUCAAUGGUCUACAGAUAAGAGGACUAGACUCCUCUAAGAAAGUUACAGUGCCAACAGCUUAUACUCGGGAGUUCAUUCCUGCCAAUCGGACUCAUAUUCCAACUCCAGAGACAGCUCAGGCAUGGCCGCACUUGGAACAUCUUGCAGCACACAUGGCUCCACAGAAGGACUGUGCAAUUGGUCUCCUAAUAGGUUAUAAUUGCCCACAAGCAUUAUUACCUAGAGAAGUUGUAUGUGGAGAAGAAAACCAACCUUUUGCACAGAAGACUGACCUAGGUUGGAGCAUAGUGAGCUAUGUUGCACCGUUCGAGCACCAUGGUGAUGAUAUUGGAAUAAGUCAUCGCAUCAUUGUAAAGAGAGUGAUGCCAGAAUCCACACCUACAGCUAAACUUAAGAGUGAAUUUCACUAUGUGUGUAAGACUCAAAUCAAGGAAUUGACCACUCCAGACAAUGUAAUUAAGAUCCUAGAAUCUGAUUUCAGUGAAAGAGAUGUGGAGGAAGCAAUACUUUCUCAGGAAGAUUUCCACUUCUUGACCAAGCUGAAGGAGGGAAUCAUGCAGAAACAUGAUGGUCAUUAUGUAAUGCCCCUGCCUUUCAAACAAGACAGACCAAACCUGCCUAGCAAUAAAGCAUGUGCUGUUCAUCGGUUGUCAUGCUUAAAGCGCAGAUUCAAGAGAGACCAGAAAUAUCACACAGGCUAUAAGAACUUCAUGAAAGACCUCAUAGCUCGUGGUGAGGCAGAAAAGAUCACAGAUGAGGAAUUGAACAACGAACCAGCCUGGUAUAUACCUCAUCAUGGUGUAUACCACCCUCAAAAGCCAGGGAAGAUACGAGUAGUCUUUGAUUGCUCUGCAAGGUUUCAAGACACUUCCCUGAAUGACCAUCUUCUUACAGGUCCAGAUCUUACAAACAACUUGGUGGGAGUUCUUUGUAGGUUUCUUGAGGGACCCAUAGCUGUCAUGUGUGACGUCGAACGCAUGUUUCAUCAGUUUCAUGUUAAGACUGAAGACCAGGACUACUUAAGGUUCUUAUGGUGGGAGGAUGAUGAUCUGGAAUCUUCACCAUCAGUGUUUCGAAUGAAGGUACAUCUGUUCGGGGCAGCCUCCUCACCUGGGUGUGCCAACUUUGGGUUGAAGCAUUUAGCUAGUCAGUGUCAGGAUCAGUUCAGUGAAAGCACUGUUAAAUUCAUUCAAGUUUUUAUGUUGAUGAUGGAUUAG